rnacentral:lncRNA from 1 species
AUGGGGCCAAGACCCAGCUCCCUGCAGCUGGAGGCUAAGGCCCUGAGCCUGCCUCACAGAGCAGCCCCCACAUCGCAGCCCUGGGGCCAGUGCUGGGGGCCCCAGCUCCUGCUCCCCACACCCCCAUGUGUCCAGGCUAGGGGCCAGGGAGGCCACAGCUCCCCCUCCUCCCCGCCUGGGCGCCACUCACCCCCUCAUACGAGGCUUCGCCUGACAGCCCUCCUCCGAGGGGCCACACCCCACACAAAGGUGCUGGGGGCCCACGCUGUGCUGAAAGCAGCCUGGCUGGGGGCGGCUCCUGCUCCAUGUCAUAGUCCCCGAGGCCCGGGAGAGCUUCCCCUCUGCAUGCGGCUGCUCACAUGUACACAGGCUGUGGUGAGCCACAUCACGUCACGUGAAGGAUUGGCACCUGCACCUCCCUCAAAUGGCGGGCAACAGAUGAGAUAUCAGAUUCCAGGGGACAGUGACCUGCCCAGUGAGUGGGUCACGGAGGCAAGACCAGAAACCCAGACGAGGGCACUGAAAUCACCAGUCCAUCAGGUUGCCCAUGAGGCAGUCAUUGCCAUUGAUGGCCCUCUUCCGUCGCGGACUCCUGGAGGCAGGAAGCAGGGCAUAUUUGGGGAUCUGUACUUCACAGGCCGAUACGGGAAGAAGCCCAGCACAGCCCUGAGACCAGCCAGGUCAGCCUGGCCCAAGGUCCACCUCCGGCCAGAGGUGACUGGGCUGUCCCUAGCUUCCUGAGGCAAGGAGCAGGAAAGCUCACAGCUCAGCCAGCUCAGCACUGGGGGAACAGGGGACGCGGAUGGAGGAGUAGUGGCUGGGAUUUUCCUGAGAAACACUAGGACUAUGGAGAGCCUAGGAAACCCCAAAAAGCAAGCGCAGACCAAGGAGGGACUGACACCGUGGCCGUGGACUAGCCUGUGAGGCGCCCCUGCCAUGGAUCUGCCAGGAUGGGGGCUGGGGGAUGCUGCCCACAGGGCCUGGCCUUCCCAGCCCCACCCAAGGCCUCCAGGAGCGGCCAAAGCAGGGCCAGUGAGGAAGCCCCACCCAGCAAUAGCGUCCCAGGCCCGCGGUGCUCUACAGAACCCUCCACCACGGUCUCCAGGGCUGGGGCACCCCGGGGCAGCCCUGGCCCGUCAGGGAGUUUCGGCAGGGUGCCCCGCCAGGGAACCCAGGGGGAGCCGACAACAGAGGCAGAAUGGAGGCGACCUGAGCACCUGGCAGGAGAGCAGAGGGCCCUGUUGGGGACACAGCCCAGGAGAGGCGGUGCCUCAGGAUGGGGACAGAGGGCUGGCUUGACCUGCGGCCCACCCUCCAACGAGGGCCACAAACACCUGCUCCUCUUUGCAGGGCCUCGACUCCCCCAGCCUAGGACUCAGCCCUGGGUCUCCCUCUUCCUCCCAUGGUACAGUCGGGGCAACUAAAGUCUGAGUGCGGGACACAAGGAUCUCAGCUCUGCCGGCCCGCGGCGGCGGCCUCAAGCCCUUGGGCCACCUUGCGCCAAAUCCCUCGAGAGCCGCUACCAUUCCCGCCAUUCCUACCUUCGCUCCGGGCAGCCAGGCAGACAGCCGGGGCCAGUCCGAGGCGCGCGCCCACCCCCGCCGGUCCCCCGUCGUCUCCUGGGUCCCCCAAACCCACUUCCCGCCACCACUGUCCAAGGAAUGCGCCCGCGCUCGGCCCAGCUUUCCCGACUCCCCCUUUCUCGGCGCGCCCCGGGCGCUCGGGUGCCUCUGCCCGCGCC